UACGUAGGGCGCAAGCGUUAUCCGGAAUUAUUGGGCGUAAAGAGCUCGUAGGCGGUUUGUCGCGUCGUUCGUGAAAACUCACAGCUUAACUGUGAGCUUGCGGUCGAUACGGGCAGGCUAGAGUUCGGUAGGGGAGACUGGAAUUCCUGGUGUAGCGGUGAAAUGCGCAGAUAUCAGGAGGAACACCCGUGGCGAAAGCGAGUUACUGGUCCACUACUGACGCUGAGGAACGAAAGCCAGGGUAGCAAAAGGG
rnacentral:rRNA from 1 species